rnacentral:lncRNA from 1 species
CGCACUGAUUACCAUGGUGACCAUAUUGGUAGUAAGGAUGGGUCAAAUGAGGGUCCAAACCCAGAUCUACAACUGUGAAGUACAGCAAGACCAGCCCUCCGCCUGCUGCAUUGAUAGUCCUGACGCUGUGUCCGUGGUGGCAAUGAUCCUGCCACCACGCCUCCCUCCUUUUGCAUCAAAGAAAUAUGUUCCUCAUUGCGUUCGCGAUUCCCUCUUGAUGUUCGCCUUCCCCGCCCUCCUGCAGACAAGGGCGGCGAGUGGCAGGAGGGUGAGGUGGUGACGGGGGUGGUGUAUCGCCACUUGCCGGCCGGCACCGGCCCCGAGUCCGCCCCCGUGGAGCGCUCCGCGCGCGCGCACCUGACGCUGGUGUGCGACGGCAUGUAUU